ACAAAGCAAGGCCAAAAAGAACCUACAAGUGUCCUAAAUGCUGGGCCUAGAUGCCGUGGUCCAGUCCCACAAUCAUUAUUGCUUUUCUGUUUCCUGACCUGGAAAAAAAUGCGUCUCGGCGUCCGGAUGCUCUUGCGGGAGACAGGCGGCAACGGCUGCACCUGUCCUGUCUGCACACAGGCGUCCUCAGGAAUUCUGCCAGCACUUCCUCCUCUGCAGAAAAAAUCAGAACCCCAAGUUGUAGCGGAAGAGGGUUGAAUUCCUCGUUUCACCUGGAGUCCACAGCCAGCUGGCCGCUCUCUGUGGCCCGGCGGUAGCCCUGAUCCGAAAGUGGUCCUGUCCCAGGAUCACCCGCUGGGGACGCCCCGAGAUCCUUCCAGGCAGGACACGUGUGCACCUCAUCCGUAAAGACUGGCUUCUGAGAAAAGAUCAACCAAUACUCGUAUGAAUGAAUGAAGGAAUGAACUACGUUGCUCCAACGUGUGGUCCUGCGACUCAGAGCCUGCUGUCACCAAGCUGACACCCCUGCCAGCCCCGGGCCAAGGACGCUUCUCCAGUGUGAGGCCCGGCAGGGCGUCCGUCAAGAACAAAGCUCAGACCUGGCCUCGCCUCCUUUUUGUUUAUAGACAUUUGCAUUUUGAUCACUUAAGCCUCAAGGAGACAGGAAAGAGAGCACUCCAAGGCCCCCCAUCUCCUAAUUCAUUUGCAUCGGCAAAUCUGCAUAUAAAUGGCGAAGCCGCCGGCGAGGGCUCUCUCUCCCCGACAUCCUGAGAGUCUCCUUCCCAUCCCUCUUGCUGCGGAUACCAAUUUGCACUUGGCUGUCACCAGAUCAGACCCAGGAAUGAGCCGCCAGCUGCCGCCGCAGGGAGGGCCCAGACUGCCUGUGUGCUCGGCCCGGACCCCGCUGGUGGGGGGAGGACGGCAGGCAGCACCCCCGGUGUGGCGGUGGGUGUGCUGGGACGCGCCCCUGGGCACUUGCCUGGGUUCCAGGCAGGCGGCUGGGGCGUCUCCCAGGCAACACAUGGGUCCCCAUGCACCAGGGGCUCUUUCCAGAUGAGGCUCUGAAUUUGCAACUUAGCAGAAGGUGGGUUCUCUGCCGUUUUUAUGGGGGUACUUAUCACAUUUUCACAGACAACAUAAGCAUAAUUUUAAGUAUCAAACAUCUUUAAUGUCUUUAUUCCUCAGGAAGUGACAGUAAAGGCUCCUCUAUUAAUGGGCCGUUUACUGUAAGGAGGAGAUAAAGUGUCUAUUCUUCCCGGGUUGUCCAGUAGUGCGGUUUGCGGCCUGGGCAGGUGCAUCAAUCUCGGCCCAGUUCUUCCUUUGGAGCCAAUUUAGAGUCCCGGCUCCUCCAGCGAGGUCCUCAAACUGAGCUUAAUUCAAAUUCCAGGCCGGGCGCGGUGGCUCAUGCCUGUGAUCCUAGCACUCUGGGAGGCCGAGGCG